CGAGACCACAUGAAGCUCCUUUGUGCCCGUCCUCCUUAGAAGCUGCCCCAUGUGCCCGGGGUCCCAUUCCACGCAUGUCAGGGAAGACCCCAAAGGUGGCCCCUUCUAGAAGGGUCCCAACUCCACCCCAAUCAGGGAGAGCCCGGACGCUGCCCCUCCAAGAGGCAGACCCAGACCUGAGUCUAAGGGGAGCAACCCUUAGAGCCAUCUGGUUCAAUCUUUCCCCCAUUUUUCAGAGGGGAAACUGAGGCCCAAAAAGGAGAGUGGUUUCUUAGGGAGCAACUGCAAUCUGGGGAUAAGAGGUCUCUUUUUCUCUCCUCCUCUCCCUGCUCCACCACUUUCCUCUCUGCUUUCUUCCUGCAGUCUGUGUCUGGGUCUUGCCUAACAUUACACAGGGAACCAUAUUGUAUUGUGAUCAGAAGGCCUUAGGAGUCCAGCAGACCUGGUUCAAAUCCCAGCCCCACCACCUCCUGGCCAUACCAUCCGACUGGGGUCUCUGAACCUCUCAGAGCUUCAGCCUCUCCCUGGAAAUGGGGUGAGUCCAAGAGCCUGCUUGAUAGGAGUCAGGGGAGGAUUAAGCGAAGGAAUGUGGAGAAAAGCAUGUGCCUGAUCUGCCCUUGUGGACAGAGCUGGGGCAAGGGAAGAGACACAUAGACCAUCAGAACAGAGCCAGAACCAGGCCUCCUGACCCCUCUUCCUCAGUUACCAUGAUGAUGAAGCAACGAUGGAAGAGCCACUAUGGGCUGGGCUCAUCUUAGGUUGUGCUUAAAGGACAAGGGAAUGUGAUUGUGGGGAUGUCUGGACUCUGGGUAUUCUGGCCAAAAAAGCAAAGCACUGCGGGCUCAAUGCUUACCAGUCAGAGGUUUCUGUAAGAUCAGCUUCUGGAGGGACGGGAAGCAGCAUCUGGAGCUCUGUGCCGCAUGGCCAGGCUUUGGCUAGGAAUGAAUCCUUUUCUGCCCUGAGUGUGGGGACAGUCCUCCAGCAGCCAGCCACUCAGCUCCGGCGAAGCCUGACCCAGGGACAGCCAGCCCGUCCCCUGUGGCCAUGUUCUGGGGGACCAGCGGGAUGAAGAACAAAAGAGGCCUUCUCAGGAAUGAUCAGUUCCGUGCGUUUCCGAGCGCUGGGAGGCGAUGCCUCCAUCUGCACCAGGCUGAUGAAGAAAUCAAGUCUCUGAGAAGUUCAGAAAUAAGUCUGUGGCCACCCAGCAAUCCCUGAAUUUCCUGAUUCUACUGGUUCCAGGACUUUCAGGACUCAUUAUCAGAGAUGACAAAAACUCCAUCAGUGUGGAUAUGGCACCCUCAGGAUCAAAGCUGUCUAAACUUGUGGGCUGGUCUCACUAGCUUAGUGUAUUCCGGAGCUAAUGUUUAUAAGCAGAGAGCCAACUUAAAGCAAGAAAAGAAUCACAUCAAAGUCAAGGCUGAGAAGUUCACAGGAGCAGAAAGGAGGCCUGGGAGAAGGAGGCAAAAAAAGUAAGAUGAAUGGAUCCAUCUUCUUCCUCCUUCUGCUACCACCCCCUGCCUCGAUUCCCAGAAACACUAUAGCAGAGCCUGCCUAAUACCUCUCAAUAUAUGUUCAUCUUCUUUGAUAACAGAACGUGAAAUGUCAGGGGUUACCGGACUUCAAAUAAUAAAAGACUACAUUUCCCAGCUUUCCCUACAGCAAGGUAAGGUCAUAUGACCACGUUCUACCAAUUGCCUAUGAGAAGAAGUCAAGGGCAUUCACGCUAGCCCUGUGUGCACAUGAAACUUCCAGGUUGUACCCUUGAAGGGAAGGGCCCUCUAUGACCUGUCCUUCUGCUCCUCUUCUUGCUGAAACGUGGACGUGGAGGUGAAGCAUAUCUGAUCAACGGAUGGGAUUAACAGUUUUGAAGGGCAAAGCAGCAAAAUUGAAAGCACUUGGUCUCCAGCAGAGUGGAGCCAUCACAUGAGCCCCUGAUAGCUUCCACCAGCAAUUUACUAAGAAAUAAUACACUUCUGUCUUAAUUAUUGAUGCACUGAGCUUUGUUAACCAUAUCAUAACAUGUUGAUCACAGCACUGAGCAGCAUUGCACAGUGGCUGAGCUCUCCCAGGAAAAGCUAUGCCAGGGUCCCGGGUACCAGUGUCCUCUUCCUGCAACAUGAACU